GUGCCAGCAGCCGCGGUAAUACGAAGGGGGCUAGCGUUGUUCGGAAUUACUGGGCGUAAAGGGCGCGUAGGCGGUUUGACCAGUCAGGUGUGAAAUUCCCGGGCUUAACCUGGGGGCUGCACUUGAUACUGUCAGGCUUGAAUUCGGGAGAGGAUAGCGGAAUUCCCAGUGUAGAGGUGAAAUUCGUAGAUAUUGGGAAGAACACCGGUGGCGAAGGCGGCUAUCUGGACCGACAUUGACGCUGAGGCGCGAAAGCGUGGGGAGCAAACAGGAUUAGAUACCCGCGUAGUCC
rnacentral:rRNA from 1 species